GCUUAUGGACGGUCUUGUGCUGAUCAGAUAUCUUCCAUCAGCACAUAACAAAAUCAUAAGCUACAUCUGUUGCCACACGAUGUUUUCAGUUUUCCUUUUUCUACUUGAGGGAAAGCUUUAGAUUGUGUGGCAGAAAUUUUAUGUAUUGUGAACACAUACACAUGCAUCUUCUCUAAUUGCACUUGUUGGUAAUAUACGUGCUUAUGGACGGUCUUGUGCUG
rnacentral:misc_RNA from 1 species